AUUCCAUGAUGGGAAUAUUCUAGGAUGUAGUCUUGAAAGCGCUCCCAUGCUUCUGGAACAGAUUCAUCAUUUUGUUGCUGAAAACUUGUAAUCUUCCCACGGAGAGC
rfam:Sorghum bicolor cultivar BTx623 chromosome 8, whole genome shotgun sequence.